ensembl:lncRNA
GCCACUGCAGGGCGCUACAGUCUUCUCAAAAUUGGACCUACGCAAUGCCUACCACCUGGAGGAGCACUGCCAGCAUGUCCGACAAGUUCUUCAGCGGCUGUUGGAGAACAAACUAUAUGUGAAGGCCGAGAAGUGCGAGUUCAGCCUCUGUAUCCUUCCUUGGGUUCAUCAUAGAGAGCGGACAAGUGAGGACCUGUCCUGAGAAGGUCAGUGCUGUGACAGACUGGCCCAUUCCAAAUUCUCGCAAGAAACUGCAGCAUUUUCUUGGGUUUGCAAAUUUCUACCGGAGGUUCAUCCGUAAUUACAGUAGGGUUGUCUCACCUCUCCUGCCCUCCCAUUUGCCUGGACACCUGGGGCGGAGACUGCCUUUUCUGACCUCAAAAGACUUUUCUCGUCUGCCCCCAUUCUCAUCCAACCUGACCCCUCCAGGCAAUUCAUCGUGGAGGUCGAUGCGUCUGACACGGGGAUGGGGGCGGUCCUGUCCCAGCGCUCUGCCUCUGACGAAAAGAUUCACCCCUGCGCGUUUUUCUCUCGCCGGCUUGUACCUGCUGAGCGCAACUAUGAUGUGGGUUACAGAGAGCUGCUGGCUGUGAAACUGGCGUUGGAGGAAUGGCGACACUGGCUUGAGGGGGCAGAACAACCGUUUGUGGUUUGGACCGACCACAAGAACUUGUCCUACAUCCAGACAGCGAAGCGCCUUAAUUCCCGACAAGCCCGAUGGUCCCUGUUUUUUGGGCGCUUUAAUUUCACCCUCACCUACCGUCCCGGUUCCUGUAACGUCAAACCUGACACCCUCUCUCGUCAGUUCAACACUGAGAACGCACCGGCCCCCCCUGACACUAUCCUCUCUACUUCCUGCCUCAAGAUCGCUGCCGUCACCUGGAAGAUCAAGUCCCUGAUCCGGGAGGCCCAAGUCACUGAACCAGGUCCAGGUAACGGUCCUCCUAACCGUCUCUUCGUCCCCAGUGCGGUUCGCUCCCAAGUCCUGGUGUGGGGCCACACAUCGCGCUUUGCCUGUCACCCUGGUGGGGUCCGCACCCUGUCCCUCCUGAAGAGGAACUUUUGGUGGCCAGCGAUGGACGCUGUCGAAAGCAGUUCACUUCAUUGCCGUUCCCAAGCUCCCAACUGCCACCGAGACUGCCCAGCUGCUUGUGCAGCAUGUCGUCCGCCUCCACGGGAUUCCCACUGACCUCGUCUCCGACCGUGGUCCCCAAUUCAUCUCCCAAGUUUGGAAGGCCUUCUGCCGAGCGCUUGGAGCCUCUGUCAGCCUGUCUUCAGGAUACCAGCCACAGACUAAUGGGCAGGCUGAGAGAGCUAACCAGGACCGAGGAACCGCACUUCGUUGUGUGGCUGCGCGCAACCCCUCUGCGUGGAGCGACCAUCUCUCUUGGAUCGAGUAUGCCCACAAUUCCAUGGCCUGUGUGGCCACCGGCAUGUCCCCAUUCGAAUGUUCCCUGGGGUACCAGCCACCCUUGUUUCCCGCCCAGGAGGAUGACAUCUCCGUCCCCUCGGUUCAACACCAUCUCCGCCGUUGCCGCAAGAUGUGGAAGGACGCACGCUCCGCUCUGCUGCGCUCCGCUGAGCUGAACCGGCGCAUUGCCGACCGC